rnacentral:rRNA from 1 species
UAAGGAAUAUUGCUCAAUGGGAGAAAUCCUGAAGCAGCAACGCCGCGUGGAGGAUGAAGGGCUUUCAGCUUGUAAACUCCUGUAAAGAAGGAAAAAAUUCCCAUUAGAUGGGAAAUGAUGGUACUUCUAAAGUAAGCCCCGGCUAACUACGUGCCAGCAGCCGCGGUAAUACGUAGGGGGCAAGCGUUGUCCGGAUUUACUGGGUGUAAGGGGUGCUCAGGCGGAUUUGUAAGUCAGAGGUGAAAUCUCACAGCUUAACUGUGAAACUGCCUUUGAUACUGCAAGUCUAGAGUAUGGAAGAGAGUGAUGGAAUGUCUGGUGUAGCAGUGAAAUGCGUAGAUAUCAGAUAGAACACCGAUGGCGAAGGCAGUCACUUGGUCCAUUACUGACGCUAAAGCACGAAAGCUAGGGUAGCAAACG